UGUCCCUGAUUUGGGCUGAAUCAGAAUCAAAUUCCCCUACUAGUCAGGCUGAAACUACUUCUGUUCUUUAAUCACAGCUUGUGAGCCAAUCAAUCACUUCUGAUUCAAAGGUAUUAUCAAAUCCAUAUUGACAUGCACACUUGUUUUAAUAACUGCACUUGCUAGUUUCUUCAUCAUUUCAUCGGACUGAUGUGAUGAAGUUUACUUGAUCCAUUUUCAAAUGGAAGUGACUAACUUGCUUAAAGAAUUUGAAGAAUAGAAAAUAAUUUGUGGCACUGAAGCAGAUGGCUUUGAAACUUUUAAGGAGCUGGUUAGAUCAGUAGUGCUCAACCUGUCUGCCCUUGCAGGCCAGAUGAGUGGCAUGGGGUCAGUAUGCAGGCUGGAUCCAGUGUGGGGUUGAUCCACAGGUGCAAUCCAAUGUGUUGGAUCAUGCCACAUGCCUACCCAACCCUGCGUGUCCAGAUCCAGCGAUGAAGCAACCCUGCAUGACAGUCUUCCCACAUAGGGAUAUUAUCCAGCAUGAAGGACCCCAACAUCUUGUUCACAGGGCUUCCAAUCCUAUGCAUUUGUAAAUUUGGCAGCAAGCAAGCAGCCAUUAAUGCUGCCACCACUCUCCCACUGCCAAAUUUCCUGACCUGCAAGACCCAUAGUGUGUGUUAGCCAAAUCAGACCCAUAGGCUGGAGCUUAAGGAUCAGUGAUUUAGAUAAUUUUUUUUUAUUUAUCUGUCAGCCUUUCACUACAGGCACUCCUCACUUAACGACCGAGUUCCGUUCCUGAGACUAGGUCGUUAAGCGAAUUGGUCGAUAAGCGAGGAGCCGCCCCUUGAUACUGCGUGCCUUGGCUUGAGACGCCGCGCUGCCGUUUCCACAAUACGUUUCGUACAAUACCAACUGCUCAGAGAGCUGGUCGUAAGUCCGCACAGUCAUUAAACAGGUAGGUCGUUAAGUGAGGAGUACCUGUAUUGGGGUGGGAGCUGGCAGCAAAUUGUACUACUUAAGGUUUCCACAAGGGGGUGAACAACUCCACCUGGCAACUCAUAGUUAAACAAUAAUAACUUGUGCUUUAAAAAAGUUGUUUGGUUCGACAUUUUCACUUUUCAGCAUCUCUUGUAAGACUUUGGAUUAUUUCUGUUGUUAAUUUCCUGAAGUGUAACAUGGCAUUUGCAUGUGUACAGCUGUCCAAAUGCACUUUUGUUUACUUUUACUGAAUUUUUGUCAUACUGGCUCUUUCCAAUAUUCUGUAAUUUCAUGCUGCUAAUGUUUUUAUGUAAGCUCUGCUAUUUUGGGAGUGUUAAAGUGCCGCAGUUCUGGCUGCUGUAAUUAAGGGGCUUCAUUGACCUCUUUUUUUUUCUCAGCUGCUGCUCAUGAGAUUAAAUAAAAGAAAGACUCAGGCCAUAAACAAUACAGAACAAAACUUAUUUUAUUGAAAACACCAGUCCUUGGGGUUAUAUAAAUGACAAUGUUUUAUGUUAGUUGCAAAGUGAAGGGGUUUGCAAGGUUCCACAGAGUGCCUUUUGAUCUGCUCAAGUACAAGUAGGGAAUGUAGUGUAGUUUUUAGUUACCCCCUCAAAGUAGAUAGGAUGCCAUUAUAUAAGAAUGCAGGAAGGUAUAAACAAUGUGGCUUUGUCUACGUUAACAUAAAUAGCAUUAUCUCUUUUGAUUUAGAGUUUCUGCUGUAAAGGAUUUAUUGCCAGCAUUCCAUUAUUGUGGAACAAGUACAUUUGAAUUCCAUUGUAAGAAAGGUCCUUCUGUGCCAGCGUACUUCUCAAUGCUCUGGUUCCUGUGCUUAAUUAUCUAAUCCCCACUAUCACUUCCUCCCUAUCCCUUCUUUGCACUUCUCAUUGCCAUUCAAAAUCCCCAUUUUAAGGGGUUCCAGUCCAUUCUUAAAAUUGUACUAUGGGCUGAAAAUUGUUGUAGAUGUUUUCAGUUACGAGUGGGGAAAUGCAGGCAAUAGAUGCUUAAGAAGUUAAUUUCUUUCCUGUAGUUCAAAAUAUCACAAUUUUCUAAAACAGUAUUUUUACAGAUUAGGCUAUAUUGUGUGCUUUGUGUCCAUCUGUGUGUGUGUAUAUACAUUUUCAUUUGUAUAAAGGGAGAUGAUGUGAGCAGCUACCAAUCUUCUGACUUGCAGCACAUCUGAACUGGGCAUUGUUAGCACACUCAGCUCUUCACAUUCUAAAAUGGGUCUAAUUUUGAAUGUAGGGAUGGUGAAUGUAGUGAAUACCUCUGUCAAGUAUUGAAGUUGGGCUAGGGUGGGAAUAUUAUCUUAACUCACUAUAAGUACAGUAGAAUUUGUUUACUGUAUGUACUCUGCAUAGCUUAUUCCAAGGACUGAACUUCCAUGCUAUAUAGCAUCAACAUAAUCUCUGUUUAUAACAGCCCCAAACUUUUAUCAGCAGGAAUAUCUUUUUUAUUUUUAUGAUGAUGAGGUAGAUUAACUAACCUAUACUAUAACCAGCACCCUCCUUUGAGCUUUCUCCUGAUCCCACAGACAUUUGUUAUAAUGAGGUUGUACUGUUUAAGGGCUGACUGAGAAAUAAAACAGAAUCACAUCUUGCUUUCGAUUUUUCUCCAGUGACAACAGAACAUCUGAAAAGCCAGGAUAAAAUUGGAAAGACUUUAAUUCUUGUCUCAACAAAAGGUUCAGAAUGCUGUCUGUAAUACACCACCAGCUCAGGGCAACUGAUGCUACUUACUGGGUGCAUCUACACCACAUGCUACAUCACUAUAGCAAUGAGCUAUUCCACUGUAGCUCAUUGCUACAGUGACGUAGCAUCAGUGGGCAUAAAAUUUGACUCCGAUGCUACAUCACUGUAAAAUGAGCUACGUCACUGUAGCUCAUCGCUAUGGUGAUGUAGUGUCUAAAAUUAACCGUGCACCACUGGCACUGCACAGUACUGGCAGAUACUGCACAGUCAUUUAGUACUUGCUGUAACUGCACAGUACCAAAUGCACAGUAAGGGGCAUGUGUACAUGUGUCCACUGUGUAUGAUCAAUUAUGUACAAUACCAUACAAUUUAUCAAGGAAACCCAGAAGAGCAACUUAAAAUUUAACUUGCCUACUUGAAACUCAAAUGGGAGAUUUGAUAAACAGGUCAUUUCUAUUCUCUCACCAAAUACAAGCAGUCCUCAGACUUACGACACAAUUGGUUCCUGAAAACCGUGUCUUAAGUUGAAACGUUGUUACUUGAAACCAAUUUUCUCAUGAGACAAUGAUUUAAAUGGGGAUUGGUUCCUGAACCAAAGCCCGAUACCCUAUUUUCACCAAAAAUACCCCAGAAUUUUGUACUCAAUCAAUUAUAGAUGAGUAAUAUAGCUACAAUAAUGUAUUUAUAUUAUAAAUAGCAAAAAUAGUAAUUUGGAAUGACUUAUUUGAUGUGACUUUGCUGGACAUACUGAAGGGCUCUUGGUUAGACUUUCUGAAGGGUUCUUGGCUGGAGUCUUCUCUGGAGUCUUGGCUGCAGGUUUUUCUGGAGUCUUGUCUGCUUUCUUAAAGAAAGUGUCUAAGGAAGUUUGGACAGAUGUUCUCCAGGGAGAUGGAUGACACAGAGAACUUGCUCACUAGCAUGGCGUUACAUCGGAUUAAGCGUUGUAAAAUCGAAACUGACAUCAUAAAGUUGAAACAGGGUGUCAAUUUAUAAACGAUGUAAGUGCAAAACAUUGUAACUUGAAACAUUGUAAGUUGAGGACUGCUUGUAAACCAGAAGUAGACAAUGGUUAAAAAACAUCAGACAAGUAUGGAGUAUCCUUUUACAUCACUCACAGACUCCUAUUAAUGGUGUUUCAGAGUAGAUAUACACUAAAUAUGGAACAGCUACUGAAAAGGAGAAGUUUGUGUUUGAGAUGCCAACAAAAAAAUGUUUAAAUGCAUGCAUCGAUACUCUCCCUACUUUCUACCACAGUCAUGCCUCCCUCUUAAUUCUUAUUCCUUGGUGUAUAUGCUGUACUGGUUUAAAAUAACAGACUGGAUGCAUAUGCGUUUUAUUUCAAAUUUGGAAAAUAAGGAUGAGAUGAAGUUCGUAUUUUUAGAAGAGGAAGACUGAUAGGCAAGACUCCUGUUUUUACAUGUUUCAUUGUGGGGUUAUUUAAAUGCUUUUUAUUAAAUCUUCCCUCCUCCCCUCCAUAAAUGGACAGCAUCCAGUACAAAUUAUCAGAAAUUAUUAUGAACAAGGUCUGAACAAAGAAACUUCAUUCAAUAUGUGCAAAUAACAAGCAAAAAACUGUGAAAAAAUAUGUAAAGGUUUAAUUUGGAUCAAAGUGUUUGUCAGCAGUUAGUGGAAAAAUAAAAAGAACAUCAUUGAAUUGAAGUGUAGGGUAAUACUUUGCAAUUAACAGCUUAUCAGUCUCCAGGAACUGAAACUGAGGAAUAGGAAGGAGAAGAAAGAGCUGAAGGACCAAACUGGGACAUAAACAAAACAGAAGCAACUGACGAGAAUGAGGCAAUGCAUUGAAUAGUAAUGAUAGCCCAUAGCAUAGGAUCAUGAAGAGGCUUUUAAAAAUGAGUAACUAAAAAGAGAUUUCCCUGUCCAUUUUUAAGUAUCAAAUAGUAUUUGCUAGGGUGCUAAAUACUUCAAAAAUAUUUCAAGACAAAGUAUGAAUUUUAGAGCCUACAUUUGGAUGCCUGUUUUAAAAAAAAACUUGGGUGUGAAUAGCCUAAUUUAAAUUAUCCAAGAGGUGGGUCUCCAUUUUUUCUUUGUUCCUUAAAGACAUCUGUGUUUCCCCUAUUAGUCAUCCAUUUAAAUUAUUUUGUGCAAAUUUUACUCUUUUAUAUUUUCCCCUAAGUCAAUUUUCUCACUUGUUUCUUCCAGUAAAAUCUUAUUUUACUCCCUUUCCUACUGCUCACUAGUCUAGUCUUGCUUGUCUAUGUUCUUGUCCCCCUACUGAUGUUUUUGUGAUUUUGCCAUUUUUUAAUCAUCUACAGGUUUUAUUGAUACACUGUUUGCUCAUUCUUCCAGAUCAUUAAUAAAAAGGUACUGGACUUCUGUUGACACAUUAGACCAUAAAGUCUCUUCUGGAGUAAUUAGCAUCUAUCAAAUCAAUGACUCACCAAAGAGAUUUUUGGUAUGUGAACUUGUAGUAAAUGCAAGUAGCCAAAAGAGUCAUUUCAGGUUAUCAAAGAAAGAUCACCUAUCUAAUAACUCCAUAAUAACUUAGUUACACGGUGACUGGAAUGACUCAGUGGAGGGCAUUAUAGAUUGUGGAAUAAAUUACACAUUUUUUAAAGUUUGUAAUUGUAAUCACCUUGUUACAUGAGGUCCUUGCAGCAGCCAUUAUGUACUAUCCAUUAUUACCCACUGUCAGACACAUUUUUAAUACUCCAAGUACAGAUUCACCUCAUUUACUUUUUGUGAAGAAAAAAUAUAUAGUGCAAAUAAAUAAAAUAGUGCAAUAAACUCAGAUUAAUGCUGUUUCCUUAACGUGUCCCCUUAUGAUUACAGUAAAUGUGAACAGUGCAUGAUUUCACCAUCUGUACACCAAUAAUGACAGCAGGCAUCAAGGGAAUGAGGAGUAUUUAAGCAUUGCAGGAAGUAUCCAGUCUGGCACUCUUUAAGCUUGAGCCAAAUUUCUUUGCUUUUAUGAACUUUAGUCUUAAUUUAUUCCUUGUUCUUAAUGAAAUUGUCUGUGGUAUUGCUGUCACGACUCUGAUACAAGUCAUGCUGCCACUCAUUUUUAAUUUCUUCACUCUCCAGUGAUAAUGAAUGUGCCUUAAAUUGUAUAUUAUUCGGGGCUUGUGAAGACAAGCACAAUACUCUGGAUUACUACAACCUGAUUGGAUGGAAGUGGCACAUUUACUUUUAAAGGAGGUUUGUGGUUAUAUUACUAGGUAUUUUGUUCUGCUAAACUCUUGUUCAUUUUUAAACAGGGUUUUUUUAACUCUUCUUUUUACCAAUCAAACUCUAUCGAAGAUUAAAGGAAGCUAACUACAAAUGAGAAAGGUUCAGGUCCUGGUACUUUGAAAAUUACCCAUAAGUGGAGGCAUAAGGCCAUAAAUAAAAUGAAAUUAAACUUCUAAAAUAGGAAAUACAUUUAAUCUUUGUGUGCUUUCUAUUACUUUUCAGACACUGCCAUUGUUGAAGUAAAUUUCAUUUUCGUCCCUGUUGAUACAGGUAACAAAAUGCUGCCAGACUGUUUCUGUUGCUGCUACUGCUGCAGUAAUCUAAAAAUAGCAAAAAUAAAUUAAAUUUCUUUCUAAGGUGGGGGCAGUUAGUAGAUAGGAAGGGAAAUGUGUAAAGAAGUGGACUUUAAGUAAAGAACAGUAUAUGGCCCUAUAUAUGAAGUUCAUUAAGAAGUUACAUGAUAAAAUAGUGUUGUUGAGUACAGAACAGUUGAUGAUUAGAGAUUUCAGGUGUGUUUCAAAGACUUCAGAGGGAUCCAGCAUGAGAGAAAAGGUCCAGCCAAAGGAUGCUUUGAAGAACAGUGCUUCUGCCUGGAUUGCUUUGAUCACCAUUUUCUUCAGUUUACAUCCAACUCCACUGGAUAAUGAUGAUGAGCCUAUGAACUGCACUUCAUCAACAGAAACUCGCGGACUCAAUAUAGACAUUGGAAUUCUGACACACUGCAACCUGCCGGACAUCUGACUCCUCAGAGCAGCAACUGAUGGUUCCAUGGUAUUUGCACUCCUGGACAGAUGAUGCCACAGCUUGAUAACAUCAGGAUAAAAUUAAGUAGAGAGCAACUAAUAUUUGGAAAAGUCAUCAGGCUAAGAACACCUUUCUCAACAGCAGUCCCUCAAUAAUACUCCUCAUUUGUCUGGGAAGGAGAGAUUUCAUCAGUGAAUCCAUAGAUGACGGAAGGUGCCAGCCUGAGAUGCAGAUGUUCAGCUGCUGAUAUAACAAAUGAUUCCAGGAAAAAGGACUAGAUCCUAGUGAUGCUGAGUCACAGCUUUGUGCCUUUUGUCUGUAUGUCACCACAGUGAAGUGAGUUUGCUCAGAAUGAUUGAUGGCUUAUUGCACAUCGCAGUACUGUUGGAAACAGUUCAGUGAUUGAGUCUUCCUGGUUUUGGUGUCACUAUCACAGUUCUUCAGAUUGGCCUUCAAGGUGUCUUUGAAUUUCUUCUUUUGCCCACUUCUAGAGCUCUGACCUCUGACUUGGGAGUAUAGGAACCUUUUUGGGAGUCACUUGUCAACUAUCCUUAUGACAUGUCCUGUCCAAUGGAGCUUAUGCCAUAUAAACAUGACUUCAAAGCUGUGGUGUUUGCUUGAGGCAGAAUUCUGGCAUUUUUUUCUUCUGUCCUUCCAAAGACAUCACUAAUGAUAACAUUCCAAAGCUUUCAGAUGUUGUCAGUAUGUCAAAUAAGUUUCACAUCCAUACAUCAGGAUAGAGGUGGCAAUACUCUGGUAGAUGAGAAGUUUGUUUUGGGUCCUGGUAUUACUGGUCAUUGAAGACACAAUUUUGGAGAUUCCCAAAGAAAGCACUAUCAGAUUUUAUCCAGUGUUGAAUAUCACUCGUCUGUUUACUUUUUGGUAAAAGUGGCUACACUGGUAGGGAAAAUGCUCAACAUUAUUAUCCAAGUGUCGCCCUCUAAUUGUAAUAUGUGGAGGAGCAGAUGGUUGGUUUAGGGUGGGUUGGUAAAGUUGCUGGUGAAUCCAAGCAUUUCAUAUGCUACAGAGCCACAAUCAAGGCUAACUUAGAGCUUUUCAACAGAGUAAUCACAGGCACUAUCUUCAGUCAGUUGAAGAUAAGUAAAGUGUUGGUUAUCUUGGAUUUGGAAUGUCACAGGUUGAUGAUGGAGAUUCUUGUCCAUGCAGUACUGGCUACUGGCUCCAGAUGGAAGUCUACCAGCAAACAGAUGUGGAAUAGCUGUGAUAUAGAUGGAAAAGAGUGUUAGUGCAGUCACACACCCUUGUUUGAUACCUGUUCUAAUGGUGAAAGGCUCCAUUUCUGGCCCACUGCUUAGAGAAGUUGCUGUCAUGUCAUUAUGAAGAAGUCUGAUAAAGGUAAUACAUUCUGGGCAUUCAAAUUUCAUCUGGAUCUUCCAUAGAGUUUCUCAGUUGAUUGAAUCAAAGACCUUAGUCAGGUAAACGAAUGUCAUGUAAAGGUCUUGGUGAUGCUUGUGGCAUUCUCCUGAAGCUAUUUAAUAACAAAGAUAAUAUUUAUUUUAUCUUUGAGUGGUCUGAAAACACAUUGGCACUUGAGUAGAAUCUCCUCAGUGAGGAAGAUGCGUCUAUUAAGGAAUAUGUGGGCAAGACACUUUCCACCUAUGAACAGAAGUACAAUACCACAAUAAUCGUUCCUACAUGAUCUAUCUCCCUUAAAUACAGUAACAAUUCUUGCAUCUACCCAGUCACUGGGAAUCUGUUCAUGUUCCCAGAUUUUCAUAAUAAUAAUAAUAAUAAUAAUAAUAAUAAUAAUAAUGUGCAGGUGGCAAGAGAGUUUUUUUCCACCUUGCUUAUAAAUUUCAGCUGCUAUUCCUUCAGGACCAUGUGAUUUGUUGUUCUUCAUCAAUUUAAUGUCUUUCAAGGCCCUUUGAUAAGCUCUCCCAGUGAUCAGUGGUAUCAGGAUCAUCAGGGAUGUCAGAGAGUUUCUUACGAGACACUGCUGGAGAUAAUCACUUUAGUAGUGUCUUUCAAACACUUAAUAUUGAACCUCUUUCUUCGUUGCUGCUUUUGUUUACAUCACUUUUUGGGCAAUACAAAUUAACCUGAUGGAAAGUAUCAGAUGAUGGUGAGCAGUCAUCUGUGCUGGUAAUAGCUCUGGUAACGUGGACGUUAUGACAGUCAGGAGCACACCCUAUGAAGUAUUCAAUCAGGUGCCAGUGUUUGGAGUGGGGGUACUCAUGUUGUUUUCAAUUUAUUACUGUGGUGGAAUAUGGAGUUUAUGAUGAUGAGAAUAUGUUCCAAGUACUUGGUCGUUUUGACAUUUUUACUGACUCUUCCAUAGUUCAGAGUCCCUGCCCACUUAGCACUGAAAUCAUCGCCAAGAAGAAUUAGUUUAUCUUCUUUGGAAACUGUUAUCAGGACUUGGUUGAGUUUAGAAUAUGUUUCAUCAGGAGUCAAAGCAUCAGGAGCUCUGCAUCAGGAGUCAAAGCAUAUGCACUGAUGAUGGUAGCUUGUUGUCUGUUGGUCAGUUGAAAACAAAAGGUCAGGAGAGACUCAUUGAUCUGUACAACUAAGUAAAAAUCCUGGUCUUGAUAGCACAGCCAAUAUGGUUGAUGUGUCUGUCUUUCUAUCUUUUCCUUUCUAAAAAAGAGGUGUAGCCACCACUAUGCUCUGAGUUGGCCCUUUCCUGUGUGUCUGGUCUCACUAAGAGCAGCAAUGUCAAUAUCAAAUCAGACAAGUUCUCUGGCCACAAGUGCUGCCCUUCAAGCUGGUUAGCCACCAUUAGGGUUGUCCAUCAGGGCAUGUAUAUUCCAGGUUACAAACUUCAUUACUUGAUUUAGACUACAGAUCGAGUGAUCCCAACUGGAACUGUUUACCAGUCAGAUAAAACAAAACAGACUGUUUAGAGUAUCCUGUUUAGCCCCCUUGCUUACAGGGUAAGCCAAGUAAACCCUAAAUAGUCUUGCUUAGUCAUGAUUGCAGAUGCUAAACUGUACACCUCUCUCAGUUCCAAGUACAAAACAAACACCAUACAAUCAUUGCUUAAGUGUAGGCCCACAACUAGGCACUUCUGGUUAUCAUUAGCACCUGCCCUCUUUACCUGUUGCCAUUAUUAUAGGGAAAUACCUCUGCAUUCCUUAUUUUAAAGUGGGGUUACCAUUACCAUCAUCAACCACAUGAUACUUUAUGGGAAGGAAAACUUAAACUGAUGGCAAGUAAAACCUAGACGACUGGAGAUUUAUAUUGCGCUGUAGCCUUUUAUCACCUUUGCAACCGUUGUAAAAUAUUCUUUCUUCAUCUAUCUGUUCUGCUGUUGAGGACUUUUAUUUUUAUUGUUUUGGAUUGCUGCUGGUUUGAAAACUUCACUCUUGACCUUUCUGCCAUGGGUGACCAUAUCAGGAGUAUACAACUCCAUGUGGCAUCACUCUCCAAGUCAUUGGUAGCAUACAAGCCUUGCCACCAUGUUAAGGUUGCAGUCCUUGGGAGGACAAGCUAUGAUAUGCCAUAUUUGAAUAAAAAAUAUUGAAGAGUAUUUUUUUCUAAGCACCUAUUUUAUCUUGUAUCAUUUAUAGCCAUGCAGGUAACAAAUCAAUUAUUGUGAUUCAAAUUAAUGACAUGCUGCAGAAAUAAAAUUAAACAAGAGCUA